AUUGAACGCUGGCGGCAGGCCUAACACAUGCAAGUCGAACGGUAACAGGAAACAGCUUGCUGUUUCGCUGACGAGUGGCGGACGGGUGAGUAAUGUCUGGGAAACUGCCUGAUGGAGGGGGAUAACUACUGGAAACGGUAGCUAAUACCGCAUAACGUCGCAAGACCAAAGAGGGGGACCUUCGGGCCUCUUGCCAUCGGAUGUGCCCAGAUGGGAUUAGCUAGUAGGUGGGGUAACGGCUCACCUAGGCGACGAUCCCUAGCUGGUCUGAGAGGAUGACCAGCCACACUGGAACUGAGACACGGUCCAGACUCCUACGGGAGGCAGCAGUGGGGAAUAUUGCACAAUGGGCGCAAGCCUGAUGCAGCCACGCCGCGUGUAUGAAGAAGGCCUUCGGGUUGUAAAGUACUUUCAGCGGGGAUGAAGGGAGUAAAGUUAAUACCUUUGCUAAUUGACGUUACCCGCAGAAGAAGCACCGGCUAACUCCGUG
rnacentral:rRNA from 1 species